UAAAAACCCCGACUUCGGAAGGGGUGUAUUUAUUAGAUACAAAACCAAUGCCCUUCGGGGCUCUUUGGUGAUUCAUGAUAACUAUACGAAUCGCACGGCCUUGCGCCGGCGAUGGUUCAUUCAAAUUUCUUCCCUAUCAACUUUCGAUGUUUGGGUAUUGGCCAAACAUGGUUGCAACGGGUAACGGAGGGUUAGGGCUCGACCCCGGAGAAGGAGCCUGAGAAACGGCUACUACAUCCAAGGAAGGCAGCAGGCGCGCAAAUUACCCAAUCCCGACUCGGGGAGGUAGUGACAAUAAAUACUGAUACAGGGCCCUUUCGGGCCUUGUAAUUGGAAUGAGUACAAUUUAAAUCCCUUAACGAGGAACAAUUGGAGGGCAAGUCUGGUGCCAGCAGCCGCGGUAAUUCCAGCUCCAAUAGCGUAUAUUAAAGUUGUUGUGGUUAAAAAGCUCGUAGUUGAACCUUGGGCCUGGCUGGCCGGUCCGCCUCACCGCGUGCACUGGUCCGGCCGGGCCUCUCCCUCUGAGUAAUUGUGGUUAAAAAACUUCGUAGUUGAAGCUUGAGCCUGCAUUGGCCC
rnacentral:rRNA from 1 species